AUUAAUUGUGAUUAAUUUGUUAAAAGUAAAUUAAUAUUAUUUGUUCCUAUCAAAAAAAGUUUAUAGGUCCGUUUAAGGAAAUUCAAUUGUUGUGAAAUAAAUACUUGAUAGUGUCCCCGGUGAGCAAUAACAAUGAUGUCGGUUUUUUGAACUUUUUGAGGUUACAUUAUAUAUGGUAUUUGAACAUCGACCACGGUACAUUAAAUGGAUGAGAAGAGAAAUGCUUCAUUUAUAUAAACAUGACCGUUGGUGUGUGAGAUCAGUAGAUGAAAGGGGUGUCAAAUGUGAACAGGUGACAUGUGUGGACAGCAAACAUAGCGGCGUGGAGGGUGCGCUCGCAAAUACCGACUUAAUUCUCUUGCUGAUUUACCCACUGUACCAAGCUCGGAUAAAGCUUACGAAACCGUAUUUAUGACAUGUCCACAAAAUUAUUAUUCAACUUUUAAAAGAAGGGGACAAACGAGCAGCGGGAACACCGAGGUG